AUGUAAUAUGUGAAUGCAAGUAUAUCACUACAACAAGACAUUAUAGAUAUUAUGUUUGGUUUUAAAUUUCAACAGUAACAGUAUUUAACAUCUCUUCUGCAGUGCACUGGAUAUAUUAGAAAACUAAAAAUUGUGGCAAAUAAACAUAUUUGUUAUUUUUUACGAUUUCUUAUGAAAAAAAAAUCAAUAUGAAUAUUAUUGCAUUUUGUGGAAAGCAAACAUAAAUUCCAACAGGUUUUAAUGAAGCAAACAUAAUACCUAUAAAAACAAGGACCAAACCUACUUUUGGCCGCUCAGCUUGUGUCUAGCUUUAAUGCAUUUCUUUUGACUAACUGUGAAUGCAACC